UUGACACACAUGCACGUAUCAAUCACCACUGCGUUACACUGAUGUUUAAACAUUUUCUUUAUGCAAAAUUCAUAAAUUUCAGCUUUUAUGAUGCAGUGGACGUGAUGUACAGCUGAUUUGAAUUUUAUUCUAAUGAAAGGUCCUAUUGAUAGUCAUGUUCGUGUGCAGUUCAUUUCUUAUUUACGUUUUUGAGGAAUAAACUGGGCAUUUGUGAUUGUGCGUAGUCCAUUUCAUAUUUUCUUCCUCUAGGAGUCAAAAUUGAUAUUCACAAUUGUGUGCAGUCCAUUUCAUAUUUACUUUUAUGAGGAGUACAUUGGAUAUUUACGAUUGUGUGGAGUCCGUUACAUAUUAACUUUUGUGCUAUUCAAUUCUAACUUUUGCUUCAAGUUGUUUUGAUAUAGAUAACUGUACAUGAUACAUGUUCUGUUGUUAUCGACUUAUUUCUUUUGUUGACUUGAAUUGAAUGCUUACUUGUAGAAGUCAAUUUCUGCGCACCAUCAAUUUUAUAUUUACUCUUGUACGGUGUCGAUCUGCCAAACACUGUGUAUUCAUUCAAAAUUAAUUUUUGAAGAUCUCUUAUUUACUUGUCAUAAGCAACCCUUUGGAUUGGGAAAAUAAAUAUCUUUUUUUUGCCUUUCUGUGUAAUUGAUAACGUUCUGCGUGGAAAAAAUCAUGUGGACCAUAAAUUUACCAUUCACAGAAUAAAUUCAAUGACUCAAAAAGUACAGAUUUCAGGAGUUCAAUAGACAUCUUCCAGGAUGCAUCCAACCCAAGAGCAGCGGGAGGAAUCUAUUUUGAGGCCACACCUUUUUCUCCAUCCCUUACAUCUACAUUGUGCAAGUAUGAUUCCAUGAUUCGGAGCGUUCCUUAGAAGAAAAAACCAUUGGCGUUUAUUCGUUCUAGGCAUGUUACCUACACAGAAUUCUUGAUCAGUGCCUGUUCCAUCAAUGAAACUUACUAUGAUGAUGCAUCCAAUGAAGUGCUCUUUGAACAAUCCAAUAUAAAAUGUUUAGGUUAAAAACAUAAACUAGACUCUACACAUCAUGAACAAGGUAGGGGUUAGCACACAGUGUAAAGUACGCGAGUGUUCAGAUUGCUGGGCGGACGCUGGCUUUUCUUGUUUCACCUGUACACGUGACAUUUGUCUGUCGUGUAAACAAAGACAUAUGUUCCAUGACGUUGUGAUUAACCGCGAAAAAUAUAGAAAAAUUUCAAAAGAAAAGAAAUGUAAGAUACACACAGACAGAGGUUAUGAAAAUUAUUGUGAAUCAUGUGAACUUCUUCUCUGUCCUCAGUGUAGUGAACAUGUAAAACAUAAAUUACUUGAUAUAGGAACAGCAUAUAUUCAAAAGAGUCAUUAAAACAGAGCAUUCAUUCAAAAUAUUAAAAGAAACAUUUUUCAUGAUUUUUUUAUAUCACCUAAAGAGAAUAAAAUAUGAUAAAAAUAAUUGUCACAAAAAAUAUCCAAACUUCAAUCAGAAAUAUCAACUAAACCACAGAGACUAAAGGACCUUAUUGACACUGUAAUUUGUGAAGUUAAAAUUAGACACCAACGUUAUAUUAAUAGAAAACAACAACAAGAAACUAGGAAUAUGAACAGACACCUUGCCAUGAUAGAGAACUAUGAACAUAAAUUUGAACAGUCAACAAAGAGACCGAUGAAUAUUCUCCCUUUUCUAAAGAAGAUCCACGUUCCGGAAAGAAAACGAUACUCCUUUUCUUAUGCAUCAAGCUUUGUACUUCAAAAGUGAAGAAAUGAACAUCGAGAGUAUAAAUAAGCU